rnacentral:RNase_P_RNA from 1 species
GGCAGACCAGUAUUAGGUGUCGGGCAUAUAAUUGCCUGGGGAAGCUCCACCCACCAUGUAGGACCACAGUGCCGUGAGGCACAGGGUGAAAGCCCUGGCUCCAGUACAGAAAAUCACCUCCACCUCAAGAUGUAAAUGAAACAGGGCAUACCAGCAGUGAUGCUGGUUUAAAGCUGUUGAUUAUGGAGGUGGAACGGGUGAAAACCUGACCUGUGGGGUGAAAGGCAGAUCUAGGUCAAUGAGAUCCUACACGAGACCUAAAUAGGCCGAUUAGACAAAUCCUAUUUACAGAAGGUGGGCUAUGCUGGUCUGCC